UCUGUUUCCCAGCUGCCCUUGCUGAAGGCACUGAUUGACAGGCUGCUGCAGGACGGCAUGGAGGAGCUUCUGCUGGAGCUAACCACCUCUAGGAGAGUCAAUGAGAAGGAGAAACACGGCUCCAACAUUAUCACUGACUACACAAGAACUGUAAAGUAUGAGAUGUCCAAGGAACCUCUGACAGAGAUGGACACCAUAGAGGAGGCAGUUGAUUCUGACCUAGACAGACAGCUACCAGAACCUAACUCUGAUGCUUUGGAUGAAACGGCGGAGGGCCCCACAUUCUGGAGCCUCACCACUCUUAAUGGUCUUAAUGGGGUCCAAGACGUGGGGAGGAUAGAGAGCACCUCUGAGGGGACACUGACAGUGGACGAGGACUUCAGUGAAGCUCCCUCGCCCAAGUUGACUUUAUCAAACUCAACAUUUAACAACACUACGUCUGAAGAGAGGGUCUCUGAGGUACCAGGGGCAAUAGUAGAAACUGUUCUCCUCAGUGGGGAAGACUCCUUGAAGAAAAAGAAGAGUCGAGAACGGAAGGGCAAGGGACAGAAAGGACGACAUAAGAGGCAAAGAGAACGUCUGACGAGUACGGAGGAGGAGGAGGAAGCGGAGGAGGAAGCGGAGGAGGAGGAAUUAUACGAUGGGGAAGAGUACAGUUAUGAAUAUGAGGAUUCCACAGAUGAUCCUUUAUUGUCAAUGGAAAAGCAAGGGGAGUUUCAAAUCACAACAGAAAGCACACUACAUGGAAUGAGCAAAGAGAGUGGCCUGACAACUUUAGGUCCAUAUCCAUCCCAGUCACCGGGUGACAGUGAAAAGGUAUGA
rnacentral:lncRNA from 1 species